GUCUUCUAAGCCAUGUGGCGCUUUGAAACACCCGAUCCCCUCGAUCUCUGAAGUUAAACAACGUGCAGUCCGAACAUUAUUUGGAUGGGAGACCACCAAGGAAGACUGAAUGCCGUAGCCU
rnacentral:rRNA from 1 species